rnacentral:rRNA from 1 species
GACGAACGCUGGCGGCGUGCCUAAUACAUGCAAGUUGAGCGCUGAAGGUUGGUACUUGUACCGACUGGAUGAGCAGCGAACGGGUGAGUAACGCGUGGGGAAUCUGCCUUUGAGCGGGGGACAACAUUUGGAAACGAAUGCUAAUACCGCAUAAAAACUUUAAACACAAGUUUUAAGUUUGAAAGAUGCAAUUGCAUCACCCAAAGAUGAUCCCGCGUUGUAUUAGCUAGUUGGUGAGGUAAAGGCUCACCAAGGCGAUGAUACAUAGCCGACCUGAGAGGGUGAUCGGCCACAUUGGGACUGAGACACGGCCCAAACUCCUACGGGAGGCAGCAGUAGGGAAUCUUCGGCGAUGGACGAAAGUCUGACCGAUCAACGCCGCGUGAGUGAAGAAGGUUUUCGGAUCGUAAAAAUCUGUUGGUAGAGAAGAACGUUGGUGAGAGUGGAAAGCUCAUCAAGUGACGGUAACUACCCAGAAAGGGACGGCUAACUACGUG